AUAUACCAGCAACUGAUGUAGCGACAGGGGAUUCAUUCAAGAGAAAGUGAUAUGGCAGAAAAGCUUUGACUUCAGAGAGCCGUGACUUGGACAAUGAGAGCUGCAUUGUUUCUCAGCGUCUCCUGGCUGCGGUCUCUCUCUGGGCGUUGAAGUACACAGCAGCCACAGGAAGGCCAAGAUCAUUCUCCUCGGCAAACCGACGGGUGUUGAAAUGGUCCCUGAAGGAUGGCACAAGUACAGUUUGCCUGCGUUUCUGCUUGAAGAGCACAAAGAUGAACCUGUGGAUGCCUAUGUUUGGCUUCGGGCUCUCGUAGCUUAUGACCUCCCGUCCUUAAAUCAGAAAGUGAGACAAUUCGUUGUUUAUUCAAAAGAAGCAAAUGAGUGAGUAAGAUGGGAACAAAUUGUCGCAGUUUAUUAGAGGAAGGACCUACCAAAAGAAGCGUCCGUUGUCCCGGGUAUAUCAGUGACAAUCCUGUGCAAGUGUAAAGACAAAAAAUGCUUCAGUACCUGCGUGGAAGUGUCUGCGCCCUCAAGUGCUGAUCUUUGCACACAUUGUUUAUGUAGAUAGAUGGUGAUGUUUCCUGUUUACCGUCGAAACUGCUGUUGCUUGGCACCUUGUCACUUGCUACAUCUGUCCCAAAAUAAAAGCACUUAUAGAUUGUUUAGUUGGGAUCAAGGUUAAAAAGAAAAGAAGAAUGGAUGUGGGUAAAAGGAUAAGUAGGUACAAGAUAGAAAAAGUGUAUAACAUUUAAAUUUUUGAAAUGUUUAUAUUUUGGAACAGAUGAAAUAGACGCAGAUGUUACACCUUGAAACGCCACAAUGAAACGUCCACCAAACCAAACGUCAGCCCCUCAAAAAUGACAGCUGUGGUGAGUGAAUGUGUGUUGAUGGGAGGAUCAUUGUGGGGGCAGCCUGUGGGAGGCAGCAAGAUACUCAGAUGAUGGCAGGCAGACUUUGGACGGAGGAUGCCAUGAUCCAAUGGUAUAUCUAUGAAUCAGUGAUUCUGCGUACCUCGCCCGUUGAUUGAGUUCCGUCUUAGAGCUUCUUCGGACCAUAGAAAUUUUAUAGGAUUUUUAAAGAAAACAAUUCAAUUCCUUCAUUUUCUUUUUAAAAAUCCUUCAAACCGAAGAGGCUCUGAAUCUAGUUCCUGCUAAUUGUGGAUUCACUUCAUGGAUGAGGGGGUGUUCAAUGGCCAAGAGUGUGUAGAAACAUUUCUCUCUAAGUUAGUGGAAAUGUGAAUGUUCUUUGAUCCUUCUUGAAGCACCACUCUCUUGUCAAAUCGACAAAUGCGGACAGCACUGCAAUGAAGGGCCUUAUGCUCAGUACCCAUACUAUAGCACUUAACGCACAAAUGUUAAUGGAACCCUAGCACUAAUAUUAUUUCUUAGACAAAUUCGUCUGUACAAUGGUAUUUUAUUCAUUUGUACAAUGGUAUUUUAUAGAACUCGUA